rnacentral:rRNA from 1 species
GAUGAACGCUGGCGGCGUGCCUAAUACAUGCAAGUCGAGCGAAUGGAUUAAGGGCUUGCUCUUAUGAAGUUAGCGGCGGACGGGUGAGUAACACGUGGGUAACCUGCCCAUAAGACUGGGAUAACUCCGGGAAACCGGGGCUAAUACCGGAUAACAUUUUGAACCGCAUGGUUCGAAAUUGAAAGGCGGCUUCGGCUGUCACUUAUGGAUGGACCCGCGUCGCAUUAACUAGUUGGUGAGGUAACGGCUCACCAAGGCAACGAUGCGUAGCCGACCUGGGAGGGUGAUCGGCCACACUGGGACUGAGACACGGCCCAGACUCCCACGGGAGGCAGCAGUAGGGAAUCUUCCGCAAUGGACGAAAGUCUGACGGAGCAACGCCGCGUGAGUGAUGAAGGCUUUCGGGUCGUAAAACUCUGUUGUUAGGGAAGAACAAGUGCUAGUUGAAUAAGCUGGCACCUUGACGGUACCUAACCAGAAAGCCACGGCUAACUACGUGCCAGCAGCCGCAGUAA